GCAUGAUGAAAAUUAUAAAACAAAAUCCAAGAUGGAAAUGAAGUUGACAAGAUUAAACCUAUAAAAAUAAAUUUCCAAAUGAAGUGAAGUCAUGACACAGCAGCACUGUAAACAAGGAAGAUCGCCAGCUGCGUUUAGAUAAUUGCCUGCAUAGAGUGCAGACCUGCAGCAUCACAUUUGAAACAGCUUUCCAGCCACAUAAAACGCACUUAAGCAACUGGACCUCUGGUUGGGAAGAGCUGGGUACAUUUCCCACCAGUGUUUGUGAAGACAGCCCCACACGAGUGGGUGAGAUGCAGAGAGCUCUCUUAAAUUUGGAUAUCUUGUUUGGCAUCCUAUCUUACUGCCAUUGAACCCAGGAUCCGG
rnacentral:lncRNA from 1 species